GACGAACGCUGGCGGCGUGCUUAACACAUGCAAGUCGAACGGAAAGGCCCUGCUUUUGUGGGGUGCUCGAGUGGCGAACGGGUGAGUAACACGUGAGUAACCUGCCCUUGACUUUGGGAUAACUUCAGGAAACUGGGGCUAAUACCGGAUAGGAGCUCCUGCUGCAUGGUGGGGGUUGGAAAGUUUCGGCGGUUGGGGAUGGACUCGCGGCUUAUCAGCUUGUUGGUGGGGUAGUGGCUUACCAAGGCUUUGACGGGUAGCCGGCCUGAGAGGGUGACCGGCCACAUUGGGACUGAGAUACGGCCCAGACUCCUACGGGAGGCAGCAGUGGGGAAUAGUGCACAAUGGGCGGAAGCCUGAUGCAGCAACGCCGCGUGCGGGAUGACGGCCUUCGGGUUGUAAACCGCUGUCGCCUGUGACGAAGCGUGAGUGACGGUAAUGGGUAAAGAAGCACCGGCUAACUACGUG
rnacentral:rRNA from 1 species